rnacentral:tRNA from 1 species
ACUUAAAUAGCUUAUAAUUAGAGCAUGGUAUUGAAGAUACCAAGGGGAUUGUUGAAUCUUUAAGUG